AGCGAACGCUGGCGGCAGGCCUAACACAUGCAAGUCGAGCGCCCCGCAAGGGGAGCGGCAGACGGGAGAGUAACACGUGGGAACGUACCCUUCAGUUCGGAACAACCAAGGGAAACUUUGGCUAAUACCGAAUACGUCCGUAAGGAGAAAGAUUUAUCGCUGAGGGAUCGGCCCGCGUCUGAUUAGCUAGUUGGUGGGGUAAUGGCCCACCAAGGCGACGAUCAGUAGCUGGUCUGAGAGGAUGAUCAGCCUCACUGGGACUGAGACACGGCCCAGACUCCUACGGGAGGCAGCAUGGGGGAAUAUUGGACAAUGGGCGCAAGCCUGAUCCAGCCAUGCCGCGUGGAUGAUGAAGGCCCUAGGGUUGUAAAGUCCUUUCGGCGGGGAAGAUAAUGACGGUACCCGCAGAAGAAGCCCCGGCUAACUUCGUGCCAGCCGCCGCCGUAA
rnacentral:rRNA from 1 species